AACAAGGCGUACCUGCGGACCUGCGGAAGGAUCAUUACGAGAGUGUCACCACUCCCAACCCAUUGUUUACCUACCCGUCCACCGUGCUUCGGCAGGCAGCCCUGUGGGACAGAGCCUCGCCCCCUUUCGCGGGGGGUGCCUGCCGCUUGCCAACCAAAACUCUAGCUGUUUUAGUACCAUCUGAGUCUUCCACAAAUGAACAAAACUUUCAGCAACGGAUCUCAGAUCGGAAGAGCACAC
rnacentral:misc_RNA from 1 species